GUGGGGAAUAUUGCACAAUGGGCGAAAGCCUGAUGCAGCAACGCCGCGUGAGGGACGAAGGCCUUCGGGUUGUAAACCUCUUUUAGUAGGGAAGAAGCGAAAGUGACGGUACCUGCAGAAAAAGCACCGGCUAACUACGUGCCAGCAGCCGCGGUAAUACGUAGGGUGCAAGCGUUAUCCGGAAUUAUUGGGCGUAAAGAGCUCGUAGGCGGUCUGUCGCGUCUGCUGUGAAAACUGGAGGCUCAACCUCCAGCCUGCAGUGGGUACGGGCAGACUAGAGUGCGGUAGGGGAGAUUGGAAUUCCUGGUGUAGCGGUGGAAUGCGCAGAUAUCAGGAGGAACACCGAUGGCGAAGGCAGAUCUCUGGGCCGUAACUGACGCUGAGGAGCGAAAGCGUGGGGAGCGAACAGGAUUAGAUACCCCUGUAGUCC
rnacentral:rRNA from 1 species